rnacentral:lncRNA from 1 species
AUGCCGCCCUCCUGCGCGCUCGCAGCGCGCCCCCCCCGGAGCUGUUCCGCUGGCUGGCCGAGAGACCUGUUUUUUUCCCCGGAGUCAGGUCGAAGGGCCCCGGCUCCUUCGCUUUGGCGUUGGCGGUGGCGCUGGGCACCUGGCACUCAGAAAAGCCCCGGGGCCCGGCGGGCGGCGCCGGGUGCCGCGGAGCGGAGGCGGCGGCGGGCCCCACCCUCGCCAGGGCCGGGCGUGCGGGCUGGCUGGUGCCGGGGGCGUGGACGCAGGUUCGGGAGGACGCGGCAGCUGGCCCGGGACCUAGGGGCUGCGGCCAUGACCUCGCCAUGGAGAGAGGUGCUCCUGGAGAGCCUCCUGGGAUAUGUUUCUUGGUCUCUCUGCCAUGACCUGAGCCCAAUGAUCUAUUACUUUCCCCUGCAAACACUAGGACUCACUGGGUUGGAAGGUUUUGCCGUAGCAUUUCUUUCUCCAUUAUUCCUCACAAUUACUCCUGUCUGGAAACUGGUUAAUAAGAAGUGGAUGCUAGCCUUGCUGCGGAUAAUUACUGUUGGUAGCAUCGCCUCCUUCCAGGCUCCAAAUGCCAAACUUCGGCUCAUGAUCCUUGCACUUGGUCUGUCUUCGUCACUGGUGGUGCAUGCUGUGACGUGGUGGACAGGAAGAGGCUUGCAAAGGUACUUCAGAAUCUGGGGAUUCAUUUUAGGACAGAUUCUUCUUCUUGUUCUCCGCAUUUGGUACACGUCACUAAACCCAGUCUGGACUUAUCAGAUGUCCAACAGAGUGAUACUGACAUUAAGUACUAUUGCCACACUUGAUCGUAUUUACACAGAUGGUGCCUGCUAUAAACCUCAGCAGAAGAAGAAUGGUAAGGCAGCCAAGGCAGUGGUUUCUGGUCUGAACUGGUUGUUGGCAGGCGCUGCCUUUGGCAGCCUCAUGUUCCUCACCCACUGGAUUUUUGGAGAGGUGUCUCUUGUCUCCAGAUGGGCAGUGAGUGGACACCCCCAUCCAGGGCCAGAUCCGAACCCAUUUGGAGGUGCAGUUCUGCUGGGCUUGGCAAGUGGAUUGAUGCUCUCGCCUUGUUCAUGGUUUCCGGGUUCCGGUUUAAUCUGGUGGAUUACAGGAGCGACCUCGGCAGCAGGACUCCUUUACCUGCCCACGUGGGCAGCCGCUGUGUCUGGCUGUGUGCUUGCUCUCUUCACGGCAUCCAUGUGGCCUCAAGUGCUUGGACACCUUAUUAGCUCAGGCUCAAGCCCUGGAAAAGCCAUGACCACUGCCAUGAUAUUUUAUAUUCUAGAAGUAUUUUUCUGUGCCUGGUGCACAGCUUUUAAAUUUGUCCCAGGAGGUGUGUAUGCUCGAGAAAGAUCUGAUGUGCUUUUGGGGACUGUGAUGCUAAUUAUUGGGCUGAAUAUGCUAUUGGGUCCGAAGAAAAGCGUUGAUUUUCAUUUUCAAACAAAAAACAGUCCUAAAGCGCUUUUCAGAGAGAGUGAAAAAUACGUGAAACUUUUUUUGUGGCUGCUUGUUGGUGUGGGAUUGUUGGGAUUAGGACUACGGCAUAAAACCUAUGAGAAGAAAUUGGGCAAAGGGGCACCAGCCACAGAGGUCUCUGCUGCCAUCUGGCCUUUCAGGUUUGGCUUUGACAAUGAUGGAUGGUCUAGUCUAGAAAGAUCAGCUCAACUGCUCAAUCAAACAGGUGCAGAUUUCAUAACAAUUUUGGAGAGUGAUGCUUCUAAGCCCUAUAUUGGAAACAACGACUUGACCAUGUGGUUAGGGGAGAAGCUGGGUUUCUACACCGACUUUGGGCCGAGUGCACGGGAUCACACUUGGGGAGAUGACCUCGACAGGAAACUUCAAGCUAUUGCUGUUUCAAAACUACUGAAAAAUAGCUCUGAGCAAGUGAUAUUUCUGGGAUAUAUCACAUCAGCACCUGGUUCCAGAGAUUAUCUACAGCUCAUUAAACAUGGCAAUGUGAAGGAUAUUGACAGCACAGAUCAAGACAGAUGGUGUGAAUACAUUAUGUAUCGAGGGCUGAUCAGAUUGGGUUACGCAAGAAUCUCCCACGCUGAACUGAGUGACUCUGAAAUUCAGGUAGCCAAAUUUAGGAUUCCUGAUGACCCAAUUAAUUAUAGAGACAACCAGAAAGUGGUCACAGACCAUAGGGAAGUUCCAGAGAAAAUUCACUUCAAUCCCAGAUUUGGAUCCUACAAAGAGGGGCACAACUUUGAGAACAAUCAUCAUUUUCAUAUGAGUACUCCCAAAUACUUUCUAUAA